GACGAACGCUGGCGGCGUGCUUAACACAUGCAAGUGGAGCGACGAACCAGGGCUUGCCCUGGGGCAGAGCCGCGAACGGGUGAGUAACACGUGGGUUACCUACCCCGAUGACCGGGACAACCCGAGGAAACUCGGGCUAAUACCGGAUGUGGUCUUCGGACGAAAGGAAGCUUCGGCCUCCGCAUCGGGAUGGGCCCGCGGCGCAUUAGCUUGUUGGUGGGGUAACGGCCUACCAAGGCGACGAUGCGUAGCUGGUCUGAGAGGACGAUCAGCCACACUGGGACUGAGACACGGCCCAGACUCCUACGGGAGGCAGCAGUGGGGAAUCUUGCGCAAUGGGCGAAAGCCUGACGCAGCGACGCCGCGUGAGGGAUGACGGCCU
rnacentral:rRNA from 1 species